rnacentral:pre_miRNA from 1 species
ACUCUAAUCAUUCAGGAACAUUGUCAAAAUGCAGGAUCUGAGUGUCCAGCUCUUAGUGGCUCCUGAUAUUCUGCAUAUCUAACAAGCUGCCAGAUGAUACCUGU